UACAGAGGGUGCAAGCGUUGUUCGGAAUUAUUGGGCGUAAAGGGCGCGUAGGCGGCGCCACAAGUCACCUGUGAAAUCUCCGGGCUUAACUCGGAGCCUGCAGGCGAAACUGUGGUGCUGGAGUGUGGGAGAGGUGCGUGGAAUUCCCGGUGUAGCGGUGAAAUGCGUAGAUAUCGGGAGGAAUACCGAUGGCGAAGGCAGCCCCCUGGGAUAACACUGACGCUCAUGCACGAAAGCGUGGGGAGCAAACAGG
rnacentral:rRNA from 1 species